rnacentral:misc_RNA from 1 species
UACUUAAAAAGUGCAAUUGAGCUCUCAUGCAUUCCCCUUCCAACAUAGAGACGAGGCUGAGACCACCACAUCAUGAGCAUCACAAUUUUAUAAUUUGACCGCUCAAGAACCCGGCGAACGAAUGGGAACAGAAAUAACAAUGCAGAGAGUAUGUUUGGAGAUAAAUAAAUAAGGAUGGCCAAAAUGAACAAAGAAGGUGAACUUGGACUAUUGCCAAACCAUUUCUUAAUGGUCUGGCCAAGUCCAGGAGGAUUUUCCCAACUAUAAGCAUAAGUAACAGGUAGAACUAUGACCCAUGCUGCAGCUGAAAGAACCUUCAAAAUGUAUCUUAGUUUGACAUAAAAUGGCAUGGCCUGCUUUGCCUUCCAGCUCAGAAUUACAUCAAUCACAGCUUGUGCAAAAUUUAAUAUAGCAGAAGUUAUGAAGAUGCUUAGAACUUUCUUGAAAACAUCACCCUCAAAUAUGGAACUCAAUUUGCCUGAUCCAUUCCAACCAAUGAUGAUCAUCGCCUGUAAACACAAAAUAAAAAAGCUCCACAUUCUAUCAAAACUUCUGAA